rnacentral:pre_miRNA from 1 species
CUAGUACUCCCUUCGUCCGGAAAUAUUUGUUCAAAGAAUGAAUAUAUCUACAUGUAUUUUAGUUCUGGAUACACCCAUUUGUAUCCAUUUUUAUGACAAGUAUUUUCGGACGGAGGGAGUAGUAG